rnacentral:rRNA from 1 species
AACUCCCAACCCAUGUGAACGUUACCAAACUGUUGCCUCGGCGGGAUCUCUGCCCCGGGUGCGUCGCAGCCCCGGACCAAGGCGCCCGCCGGAGGACCAACCAAAACUCUUUUUGUAUACCCCCUCGCGGGUUGUUUUAUAAUCUGAGCCUUCUCGGCGCCUCUCGUAGGCGUUUCGAAAAUGAAUCAAAACUUUCAACAACGGAUCUCUUGGUUCUGGCAUCGAUGAAGAACGCAGCGAAAUGCGAUAAGUAAUGUGAAUUGCAGAAUUCAGUGAAUCAUCGAAUCUUUGAACGCACAUUGCGCCCGCCAGUAUUCUGGCGGGCAUGCCUGUCCGAGCGUCAUUUCAACCCUCGAACCCCUCCGGGGGGUCGGCGUUGGGGAUCGGCCCUGCCUCUUGGCGGUGGCCGUCUCCGAAAUACAGUGGCGGUCUCGCCGCAGCCUCUCCUGCGCAGUAGUUUGCACACUCGCAUCGGGAGCGCGGCGCGUCCACAGCCGUUAAACACCCAACUUCUGAAAUGUUGACCUCGGAUCAGGUAGGAAUACCCGCUGAACUUAA